CGUCCACAGGUAGUAGAAGUGGUGAUGGGAAGAAAAUUACAGAUUCCAUUAGGUGCCAACGGAUGUGCAUACUUUCCUUUUGAAGAGUUAUGCGAUCGCCCUCUUGGAGCUGCCGAUUACUUUGGAUUGUUCAAGAAGUUUCAUACUCUUGCAUUGGAAGGGAU